rnacentral:rRNA from 1 species
CAGCAGCCGCGGGAAUACGUAGGUGGCAAGCGUUGUCCGGAAUUAUUGGGCGUAAAGGGCUCGCAGGCGGUUUCUUAAGUCUGAUGUGAAAGCCCCCGGCUCAACCGGGGAGGGUCAUUGGAAACUGGGAAACUUGAGUGCAGAAGAGGAGAGUGGAAUUCCACGUGUAGCGGUGAAAUGCGUAGAGAUGUGGAGGAACACCAGUGGCGAAGGCGACUCUCUGGUCUGUAACUGACGCUGAGGAGCGAAAGCGUGGGUAGCGAACAGGAUUAGAUACCCGCGUAGUCCCUGUCUCUUAUAC